UACGUAGGGUGCGAGCGUUAAUCGGAAUUACUGGGCGUAAAGCGUGCGCAGGCGGUCUGUUAAGACCGAUGUGAAAUCCCCGGGCUUAACCUGGGAACUGCAUUGGUGACUGGCAGGCUUUGAGUGUGGCAGAGGGAGGUAGAAUUCCACGUGUAGCAGUGAAAUGCGUAGAGAUGUGGAGGAAUACCGAUGGCGAAGGCGGUCUCCUGGGGCAUUCUUGACGCUGAGGCGCGAAAGCUGGGGGAGCAAACGGG
rnacentral:rRNA from 1 species